GACGAACCGAGCGAACGUUGUUCGGAAUCACUGGGCUUAAAGGGCGCGUAGGCGGGCUGUCAAGUCUGGGGUGAAAUCCCGCGGCUCAACCGUGGAACUGCCUCAGAUACUGACGGCCUCGAGGGAGAUAGGGGCGAGCGGAACUAAUGGUGGAGCGGUGAAGUGCGUUGAUAUCAUUAGGAACUCCGGUGGCGAAGGCGGCUCGCUGGAUCUUUUCUGACGCUGAGGCGCGAAAGCUAGGGGAGCAAACGGG
rnacentral:rRNA from 1 species